GACGAACGCUGGCGGCGUGCCUAACACAUGCAAGUCAACUUGACUGAAGGAGCAAUCUGACAGUAGAGUGGCGCAAGGGUGCGUAACGCGUAAGUAACUUGCCCAAGGUAAGGAAUAACGUCGAGAAAUCGGCGCUAAUACCUCAUAAUGCAGCGGAUCCGCAUGGAUAUGUUGUUAAAGGUUUACCGCCUUGGGAUAGGCUUGCGUCUGAUUAGCUAGUUGGUGUGGUAACGGCACACCAAGGCUACGAUCAGUAACUGGUCUGAGAGGAUGAUCAGUCACACUGGAACUGAGACACGGUCCAGACUCCUACGGGAGGCAGCAGUGAGGAAUAUUGGGCAAUGCUCGAAAGAGUGACCCAGCAACGCCGCGUGGAGGAUGAAGGUAUUCUACUAUCGUAAACUACCUGUGAGAGCA
rnacentral:rRNA from 1 species